ACGCUUAAUUUCCUCCCUCUCUCUUUUUUUUUUUUUUUUUCUGGUCAAACAUGUUGAGCAUGUUGCCACAUAAACUCUCACCUGCUAUCUAGUUUAGCCUUCCACCUCCUCACAAACAUUUGCAGGCUAAUUUCACAGCUAUAUCCUUUUUAUGUUCUUGUUGAAAUAUUCGACAUUAUUCAAGUUGAUUGCAGUUUAAAGAGAUCCAGGAAGUUUCAACCUGAAGAUAGGCUGUUUUCAUUAUCUUCCACCACCUCACCGGCGGCAGAAGAACAAGCUGCUGGACGAGAUGGUGGGGCUUUAUUGGCUAAUGGACAGCAAGUAUUUUAUUUCGUCUGAUGCAGAGGGAAACCAAAGAAGGGUAGGGGUGGCCCUAGAGAUGCAAAGAGAUCGAGGCAAUCAAGCGAACCAGAUUUUGACUAUGAAGACGAUGCUGAUUUAAUGUAGUGGUGACUCCUCGUAUGAUGGUACAUCUGUUGGUAUUGCAUGAUGCAGGUUGAUAACUUCCUUGCGAAUGCAUUCAAACCGAGGUGGAAAUGGAGCUUUUUUGGGUGUCAUAAUGUACAUUAUUAUGCGAUCCUUGCUUGGCUAUCAUUUCAGCAUAUGCUGUUGUAAGUAGAUAUGUACAAAUCCCCAUGAUUUUCAUGCAAGAAGGGGAAAAACAACUAAGGCAGGACAUCUUUUUCAAUCAUCUUGUCUUGGCAGGGAUAGAAUUACGUUGGCGCUUGGCAGUCAAAAAUUUUGUGGCCGACUGGAUCCGGCAAAUUGCAAUUGUCAUUUUGUCGAGAUCCUUGGUAUUCUGAGAUUCUCCGUUGCUAGUUCGACAUUGUUAAAGUUCCGGGGCUAGAAAUCUAUGGCUUUACUAUCAGAUGUCAAGGCUGCGACGCCCCUCUUCAUGUUUGUUGUGGAAUAGUAGAGUAGGUUCACAUUUUUUUCCGGUUGAAUGUCGUAUAUGGUGUCGGCUAUUUUUUAUGACCUGCUGAUGUUGCUUUGGCAUCUUCCUCCUCAUAAUGCGUUUUUAAGUCCAAUUGU